ensembl:lncRNA
GUCUCCUUCUCUUUCUCUCUCUCUGGCUGCACAUGGUACAGUCUUGCAUGUCUGAGCAGCAGACGGCUAGACGGCACCAAUCUGCUAGAGCAGGCUCAUGUGCUAGCCCGAAUUAUCCAUUCAACAAAGCCUGAGCUAGCAGCACUAAAAUCUUCCCCUAUUCUUCUCUCCAGCAUUCAUUUUUUUCUCCCCUCUCUCUCUCCGAUUUGUGCCCUGCUACAUCCUCUCUCCCUUUGCUAGGCUGACCGGCACAGGCGUACAGAGAAGACUGCGGCAGCCUCCGCCACCUCGGUCAGCUGGAGCUUGCUACACUCGCUGCUGCACACCGCCGCCAUCUUGUUACUGCCUGUGCUACUGGUCUGCCUGCCUUUGCUGCACUCAAACCAAAUCAUCAAACUCAGCCUGCGGUUGUUUCCAUGCCACUCCUGUUUGUGCGCAGCUUUGUCACAACGCAGUGCUGCGCACCAGCUACCGGACGUUGCUGCACAGAAGCACCUGGAACUUUUAUCUGGGUGUUUCUUUAAUAGCUGCCACAGAUUGGAUGCUGCAGACGGUGUUGUCAGCAUCUCUCAAACCAUCAAGCCCAUAUGCCUGAGCACAUAUACUGUAUAUGCUAUCUUUGUGAGCUUGUGUGCUGUAAAGAGAGGGUGGGAAAGAGAAAGGAGGGGAGUGAGAGAGAAAGAGAGGAAUCAAGCGUCGGUAAGAAAGUCUUCCUAAUUCUGUUUGGCAGAAACUGUGCUGUUUAACCAUAUGUGCAGAGAGCAGGCUUUGCACAUGCUCAGAAUGACUCAGAGGACACGACUUUCACAUGUCUCAACGCAAUUAGAUUAACUAAUAGAUAAUUUUCCAGCAAAUAUAAAUAAGUUACAGUGAAGUCAUAAAUAAUUUAAAAAGUGUGCACUCUACCUUGAAUUAUUUUUGUUGUACUCACAGUAUGAGGUUAAAACAUGGGCAUUAGAAGGAGAGCGGGAUACAAACACAGCAAGUAUAUUCCAGCUUAUGGAAAUCUUAUUCCUGCAUUUAACUGUGCUUUGGUGCAAAACAAGUGGAAGUGUGUAGGUGGAGGCCACAGUGAUACAGCAGUGAGUUCAGAAGGUCUUCAAUCCUCUAAGACUAUAUGCCAAGAAGACACCAUGCUAAUGAAAUCAUAAAGACGGUGAAGAAAACAAGCUGUCCCUGGAGAAUACAUCCAUGCAUCGGAGGUUGCCAGUUUUACUUUACUUGCUUCUGGGUAUGCAUGUACUGUAGCUUUGCAGUGAUACUGUAUUUAUAAGGUCAAAGGCUGCUUUGCUUCAGGGUUAAAAUGCUCUCAGCCUUUAUCUUAUGAUUACCUUCAUCAGGUCAGUGAAGAUCACCCUUUGCCCCACCAGCUGAGUGGGACAGCGGGUUACAAGAGGUAUGCAAAUCACAGUAAUAUUUAUUAUGUAUAACAAGGAAGAAAAUGUAAAAAAGAAGAAGAGUUUAAAUCACUGCUGAUAUUCCUAUGAAAUACAGGGUACAAUUAGAAUGAGAUAGAAAUGAUCAAGAUGCAAUUAACGUUCAUACUUUAAAUAUUGGACAGAAAUAUGACGUUGAAUAAUUUUGGCCACUUUUAUACACAGUCCGCCAUCUUUAGGUGCUUAAAUGCAGUCGAACGAACGCUCGUUAUAAGUUGGGGGCGGUUACAGUUACAGAACCAGCAGUUCUGGCCUAUUCAGAGAGCUCAGGUGGUGGAGCAGGUGGUGGAGCAGGUUUGGGCAGGACACUGAACCCCUAGUUGCUCUCGAUGGCAGAUGAGCUGUCUGAACACGUGUGGCCUAUAAAUGCCGAUCGUCUAAAAUUUGUACUUUUAAUACUUUGUCAGGAAUCAUUUGCGGGCAGUCUGAUUUCUGAAACCUUCGGAUAUUAAUGCUUCUGCGUUUCUGCAGUUGUUUGUUUACGCGUCUUGUUAUCAGGGAGUGAAAUUCAUACUCAGUCAGACUGAGAUUGGCCGAGAAAGUUAAAUUGUCUGCAUCAUGGUUGACUAUAAUCAAUGCUGACAUUGCUUGUUGUCCUCAUUGUGUAAGGACGGAAUCAUUAGAAACACCAAGUAACAGCGUAUUACGUAGAGAGCAAAGAAUUCGUAGUUUAUCGAGCUACCAGGUCUCACGCAGAGUUAACUUUGAAUUGAUGAUUAAAAGCAAACAAUAGUCAACUGAUAGUUUUCAUGAAUGUUAUUAAUCUAGUUUAAAAUUUCAAAUUCAGUUGGAGUUUCAGAGACUUCAGAGCAGAUCGCUGAAACAAUACCGAAGCAAUAUUGCUGCAUUUUAAAUCCGUCCGUCCAAGUCAUCUUUAGGCAAAAUGCAGGAUAUACUGUGGACUCAUUACCAGUCUAUCACGUGGCUAAUACAGAACACUUGCAGUCCAUCAGCUAAGAAUGGCUGCAUGAUUAAAUCCCAUUUAGAGGAAUUAUUCACUGUCAAAAAGUCCAAUUUAUGCAGAAAGCACAUAAGAGCAAAUAUGAAUUUCUUACUGGAAGGUAAGCUCCAUACUGGAACAUCACAAUACAAGUUCAGAGAGCCUGUCCAAUGAAAUAAUUCAUUAUAAUCCAAAGUGAGCCUUCAUCAGCCUGGGAGUUGUCCUGCUAUGUUUUUAUGAUCCAGUUAACAGAAAUAAAGCCCUCAACUCUCCGGCUUGAGUAAUGACGUAAGCAGUUAACGAUUGGAAGAAUUUCUUUUUGGACAAGAGCGGAGGACGUUGAUCAUUCAGGGUCAACAAUGAGCGCCUCAUUUGUUCUUUUUUUCCCCAUUUGUAGUAUAAAUAGAAGCAGUUCAGCCUUCAGUGGAGAGUUUGUGGAGCAUACUUACUGAGUGUCGAAUGCAAAGAUGUUGCAUUCUUUAUUAUUCCAUAUCAACUGUCCUGGAAUCCGUUACACCAUUUCCCAGAAUUGCAGUCCAAAAAGUAUGUAAAUCCCAGCUGGGAAUGGGUGUAGAAUCCCAAGGUUUGUGCACGUGACAUGAACUAUUCAUUCUUCUUCUUUUUCUGUCAAAGCAUGACUUCUUAAAAAGAGUUACAGGUGUAUCUGGGCCCACCUUCUUGUUACAUAUAUAUAAUGCACAGCUGUCAAAAGUAAAUAAAGUAGAAAUCACAAACGUCCUUUGUUAGGUGUUCACAUUUAAUUGCUCCUUCAGAAAUAAAUGCAAAAUCUUUGGAAAACAGGAUAAUCUGCUAACAAGUGCCAUUUCCUUACCCAGAGGACCCAUACUUGAGACUUUGUUUCUCCCAGAAUACAAUGUUUCCUCAUUUUCAGUGAGGAACCAACCAAAAACCAAAAGGUUUUGACAUUCAUUGUUCUCCCAGAAGAUGCAUCUGCAGGCAAUCCCUAACUUUCUCCUCUAGUGCUACCAGCACAAUGAUGUACAGGUGUAUGUGGUUUUAAAAUUCAUAAGUCACCAAAUACUGGAUGGAUUUCCAUUAAAGUUUGUGCCGAUAUUCAUAUCCUUCAGUGUACCUGUCUGCAUUUUUUUAAAAAGUGUCCUGUGUUCCAGUAUUUUGGCUUGCGAUUAAACAACUGCAAAGCUAGUGAUUUGCUGCAUUACUUACAUAUUGCAGUCAUGAAUAAGAGAAGAGACUAGUCUUUCCUGGUAGACUGCAGUGAAUUAUCUUCACAGCAGCAGAGUAGACAUAGAUUGCAUGACAUGGUGCAGUUUGCACAUGGAAUGCAGAAAGAUUUCAGGCACUGAGUGAUGAAGGCCAGAUGUUUGAGUUAUGCAUAGGAAGUCAGUGGCCUACAGUUGGUACUGUAUGAAGCGAUGAUGCCAGAAACCAUCGCCGGCAUAUACCAUGUAAUUAAAUUUAAGGAAGCCCACUCACAUAUUACAGCUUGUAUAUAAAAGCAAUACAUGUUCCAGGUUUGAAAAAAACAGACAUCAAAAAACAUUACAUAAACACAAGUGCCUAAAUAAAAAUAGAAACGGUAUAUGAGUAAGAGGUGUUGCUUAUGAUUCACCUGGUUACAGUUUGCAUAGCAACUAAUUCUAGUUUUUUUAUAUAUAUAUAUAUAUAUAAAGUUUUGCUCAAAAAUAAAAAAUAAAGAAAAGCUUAAGAGUCUGAGAGGUUGUUGUGAAUGUUGUGGAUUUAAUGAUUGGUCAAAAAUAAAUAAAACAUAAAUAUAAGCGAGGUCAUUAUAUCGAUAUCUUCAAUUUUGUCCUUCAUUUGUAGAUGUUACGGAAAUUAAUCUUUUUAAACUUGGAGAAAAGAAACAAGUUCAAAAGAGGACUUGUUUACCAGAAAAUAUUCCUUGCACAUUGAUUUGCAGCACGCAGUGUGGUUACAUUAUUAAACUAUAGACACCCAGCAAUGGUAAAUAUAUACUGAAACUUACCUCCUCCUCCUAUAGACGGUUUUCUCUUGUUCUUUCUCCCUCCUUUUUGUCUCGUCUUGCACACAGUUACACAUGCACACUCCCAGCCUGUCUGCGUCUCACACUCAAACACGCACACACACACACACGCACACACACGCACCGUCUUUUGUUUGGAGUCAGACGGCAUUGAAGGCAGAUCCUGUGGCCCUUCUGAGGAGAAUGUUAAUAUGCCCGCUCUGGUCUCUCUGGGGACGCAGAGAAUGGACUCGGGCUGCUAAUGCACUGUCACACUAACCCCGCUAAGUAUUCUCACAGUUAGCAACAGCAGCGCUGCUCCCAGAACUGAAAUGUAUUUAACUAAACUCGCAACCUACUGAAUCGUAAAGACUUACUUUAGAUUGUCCUUUCACAAAUAACUGCCUCAUUUGCCCACCUUUCUGUGCCUGCAAACAGAGAUAUGGCAGGUGGGCUAUUUGUUGAGUGCAGUUAGACUUAUUUCACUUUCAUUAGCACUUUAUUUAUGUGGACUCAUUAGGGGCAGUUUGCUCCCCCACACUGAGGUAGGCUUAAUGGAUUAUACUAACGACCUACACAAGCACACGGUAUUCAGUUACAUGUAGAGUUUAAACAAGUCAAAUUAUCUUUAAAGAGUUUGGGCUCGGUAUCGUUUUUGCUAACUUUGGCUAAAGGAUGUAUUUUUGCUUGUGGUUCAGUGAAAUCCUGCUAUUCGAACUGUGGUCACCUGAGUGGAAGGAAAAUGUUCCCCACUUACCAAACUGGUGUGAGGAGUAACUAUGUUUUCAUUUAUGUCAUGAAUAAAAUAAAACUAUUUUUGCUAUUUAAGAGCAUUAAAAAUGAAAAAUAAAUUAAUAACAUUUACUUCAUGUUGUAUAUUGGCUGUGGUCAUUGUGUCCAUGUGCUGAGCCUGUGGAUCACAGUUGCAUGCAGUAAUAGUCAAAGGAUAUUUAAGGUAUUACUAUAUAAACUAUGUAUUAUCAUGGAUUAAAUAUAUUAUAUAAGACAUUUUAUUUUGUGAGCAGUGUUUUCCUUUGAUAAUGC